rnacentral:rRNA from 1 species
GACGAACGCUGGCGGCGUGCCUAAUACAUGCAAGUAGAACGCUGAAGCGAGGAGCUUUCUCUUCUUGGAUGAGUUGCGAACGGGUGAGUAACGCGUAGGUAACCUGCCUUGUAGCGGGGGAUAACUAUUGGAAACGAUAGCUAAUACCGCAUAACAAUGGCUGACACAUGUCAUUUAUUUUAAAGGGGCCAUUGCUCCACUACAAGAUGGACCUGCGUUGUAUUAGCUAGUAGGUGAGGUAAUGGCUCACCUAGGCGACGAUACAUAGCCGACCUGAGAGGGAGAUCGGCCAAACUGGGACUGGGACACGGCCCAGAAUCCUAAGGGAGGCAGCAGGAGGGAAUCAUCGGAAAUGGGGGCAACCCUGACCGAGCAAAGCCGCGGGAGGGAAGAAGGUUUUCGGAUCGGAAAGCUCUGUUGUAAGUGAAGAACGGGUGUGAGAGUGGAAAGUUCACACUGUGACGGUAGCUUAACAGAAAGGAACGGCUAACUACGUG